rnacentral:rRNA from 1 species
AUUGAACGCUGGCGGCAGGCCUAACACAUGCAAGUCGAACGGUAGCACAGAGAGCUUGCUCUCGGGUGACGAGUGGCGGACGGGUGAGUAAUGUCUGGGAAACUGCCCGAUGGAGGGGGAUAACUACUGGAAACGGUAGCUAAUACCGCAUAACGUCGCAAGACCAAAGUGGGGGACCUUCGGGCCUCACACCACCGGAUGUGCCCAGAUGGGAUUAGCUAGUAGGUGGGGUAAUGGCUCACCUAGGCGACGAUCCCUAGCUGGUCUGAGAGGAUGACCAGCCACACUGGAACUGAGACACGGUCCAGACUCCUACGGGAGGCAGCAGUGGGGAAUAUUGCACAAUGGGCGCAAGCCUGAUGCAGCCAUGCCGCGCGUAUGAAGAAGGCCUUCGGGUUGUAAAGUACUUUCAGCGGGGAGGAAGGCGGUGAAGUUAAUAACUUCACCGAUUGACGUUACCCGCAGAAGAAGCACCGGCUAACUCCGUGCCAGCCGCCGCCGUAA